ACUUAAUGCAGCUUAUCUCGGCAGCUCAAAUGAGAGUAGUCAGACGCCGAUGCCCAGGUUAUAGAAGCAAUUGCAGUAAACUGUUUCUUAUUGCGGCCGUCGUGACAACGGCUGGGGCUGUGCUUCAGACCUGCACACUCCCUAAUCCUCUAACUAUCUGGUUUCUCUUGCCGUCGGUUACGGUUUCAUCCUAUAAAGCCUUGAAUGAUACAGAGCAGGUGAAUCAAGCUCCUCCUCGGGAAAGGGUUGAACAGUUUUCGUUGUUUCCAGUUUCCUCUACUACUACACGGAAUUUUACUGGCUUAAAACAAUUAGUGCCAAGCGCGGAAAAAAGUCUCAAGGAUUCACCAAUUAUAAAUUCUACAAGCAAGGAAAGGAAGGAUGUCAAAGGCAUUUCUGAUGAGCCCGAGGUUGCACCUCCUCCCCCAAAAAAAGAUUACUCUUCCUGGAAGAGAUACGUAUGGUCCUUGCCGCCUGAAGAAGCACUUGUCUAUGCCAAGAAAGAGAUAAAACAUGCUCCAAUAGUCACUGAUGAUCCUGACCUCCAUUCCCCUUUGUUUCGGAAUGUUUCUAUUUUUAAAAGGAGCUAUGAAUUGAUGGAAAACAUACUUAAAGUUUACAUCUACCCUGAUGGAAGGAGGCCAAUUUUUCACCAACCAUAUCUGAGAGGCAUUUAUGCUUCUGAAGGAUGGUUUAUGAAGUUAAUUAAGGAAAACAGGCAGUUUGUCACAAGGGACCCAAAAAAAGCUCACUUAUUCUAUCUUCCAUAUAGUGCACGCCAGCUGGAGAUCACUCUAUAUGUGCCUGACUCACAUGAUUUACGACCUUUAUCAAAAUAUCUGAGGGACUAUGUGAACAUGAUUGCUGCAAAAUAUCCUUUUUGGAACCACACACGAGGAUCAGAUCAUUUUCUGGUUGCUUGCCAUGAUUGGGGUCCAUACACCGUGAAUGAACACAAGGAACUUCGCAGAAACACCAUUAAAGCUCUCUGCAAUGCUGACUUAUCUGAAGGAAUCUUUGUUUCUGGAAAGGAUGUCUCCCUGCCAGAAACCACAAUUAGAAAUCCCAGGAGGCCUAUCAAAUAUGUUGGGGGCAAAAGAGUCUCUCGACGCCCGGUCCUUGCCUUCUUUGCUGGAAACAUGCAUGGUAGGGUCCGCCCCAUAUUGCUGAAACACUGGGGUGAUAAAGAUGAAGACAUGAGGAUAUAUGGGCCUCUGCCGAUCAGUGUCUCCAGGAAGAUGUCUUACGUUGAACACAUGAAAUCGAGCAGAUUUUGUAUCUGUCCAAUGGGAUACGAGGUGAACAGCCCUAGGAUUGUUGAGGCAAUCUAUUAUGAGUGUGUUCCUGUGAUCAUUGCAGAUAAUUUUGUCCCGCCAUUCAAUGAAGUGCUUGAUUGGAGCGCAUUCUCUGUAAUUGUGGCAGAAAAGGAUAUAGCAAAUCUGAAGGAGAUUCUCCUGGCUAUCCCCCUCAGACACUAUCUUUCUUUGCAAAUAAAUGUGAAGAUGUUGCAGAAGCAUUUUCUUUGGAACACAAGACCAGUCAGAUAUGAUUUGUUUCAUAUGAUUUUGCAUUCACUUUGGUUCAGUAGGCUGAACCAGAUUGAACUUCCACAGGAUUCGAAAAUUUCUGUUGGUGAUUAAUUUGGUGUACCAACUUCUUUAUCUAAAAUAUUCAGUCAGCACUCAGCAAACCAUCCUGCAGAGGAUGGACAACCUUGAAGAGGAUGAAAGGACUUCAAAUUGUUGUGGACAUUUGAGGUGAAUGGUGCAUUUCUGGUAUUUUCUUGGAACCAAGGUGCCAAUUAUUUUCUGUGGUUGAGAGUGUACAGUUUGAUGCACAGUGACAUGUGAGCAUUGAUAAGUUCGAGUAUCUGACCAUAUGAAACAGAAAUGGAGCGGAAUGAUGAUUUUGUAUUUCAGGUAAAGUAAGGAUUCUUUGUAUUUGCUAGUAACAUCCUGAAAGGAGACUGGAGACAACCAGGUAGUUCAUGAAAAUAAGAACCCUUCGAAUUAUGGGGGGAACAAAAGAAGAAGAUCAAUUCAAUUCAUUGUUGUUAGCAGAAUCAUUUUUUAGAGUCGACAUUUCUUCACUUUGGAGAGGGGUAUCUAUGCUUU